AUUGAACGCUGGCGGCAGGCCUAACACAUGCAAGUCGGACGGUAGCACAGAGAGCUUGCUCUUGGGUGACGAGUGGCGGACGGGUGAGUAAUGUCUGGGGAUCUGCCCGAUAGAGGGGGAUAACCACUGGAAACGGUGGCUAAUACCGCAUAACGUCGCAAGACCAAAGAGGGGGACCUUCGGGCCUCUCACUAUCGGAUGAACCCAGAUGGGAUUAGCUAGUAGGCGGGGUAAUGGCCCACCUAGGCGACGAUCCCUAUCUGGUCUGAGAGGAAGAGCGGACACACUGUAACUGAGACACGGUCCAGACUCCUACGGGAGGCAGCAGUGAGGAAUAUUGCACAAUGGGCGCAAGCCUGAUGCAGCCAUGCCGCGUGUAUGAAGAAGGCCUUCGGGUUGUAAAGUACUUUCAGCGGGUAGGAAGUCGGUGCGGUUAAUAACCGCGUCAAUUGACGUUACCCGCAGAAGAAGCACCGGCUAACUCCGUGCCAGCCGCCGCGGUAA
rnacentral:rRNA from 1 species